GAUGAACGCUGGCGGCGUGCCUAAUACAUGCAAGUCGAGCGAACAGACGAGGAGCUUGCUCCUCUGACGUUAGCGGCGGACGGGUGAGUAACACGUGGAUAACCUACCUAUAAGACUGGGAUAACUUCGGGAAACCGGAGCUAAUACCGGAUAAUAUAUUGAACCGCAUGGUUCAAUAGUGAAAGACGGUUUUGCUGUCACUUAUAGAUGGAUCCGCGCCGCAUUAGCUAGUUGGUGAGGUAACGGCUUACCAAGGCAACGAUGCGUAGCCGACCUGAGAGUGUGAUCGGCCACACUGGAACUGAGACACGGUCCAGACUCCUACGGGAGGCAGCAGUAGGGAAUCUUCCGCAAUGGGCGAAAGCCUGACGGAGCAACGCCGCGUGAGUGAUGAAGGUCUUCGGAUCGUAAAACUCUGUUAUUAGGGAAGAACAAAUGUGUAAGUAACUAUGCACGUCUUGACGGUACCUAAUCAGAAAGCCACGGCUAACUACGUG
rnacentral:rRNA from 1 species